rnacentral:rRNA from 1 species
AUUGAACGCUGGCGGCAGGCCUAACACAUGCAAGUCGAGCGGAUGAAGGGAGCUUGCUCCUGGAUUCAGCGGCGGACGGGUGAGUAAUGCCUAGGAAUCUGCCUGGUAGUGGGGGAUAACGUCCGGAAACGGGCGCUAAUACCGCAUACGUCCUGAGGGAGAAAGUGGGGGAUCUUCGGACCUUACGCUAUCAGAUGAGCCUAGGUCGGAUUAGCUAGUUGGUGGGGUAAAGGCCUACCAAGGCGACGAUCCGUAACUGGUCUGAGAGGAUGAUCAGUCACACUGGAGCUGAGACACGGUCCAGACUCCUACGGGAGGCAGCAGUGGGGAAUAUUGGACAAUGGGCGAAAGCCUGAUCCAGCCAUGCCGCGUGUGUGAAGAAGGUCUUCGGAUUGUAAAGCACUUUAAGUUGGGAGGAAGGGCAGUAAGUUAAUACCUUGCUGUUUUGACGUUACCAACAGAAUAAGCAUCGGCUAACUUCGUG